rnacentral:rRNA from 1 species
UACGUAGGCAGCGAGCGUUGUUCGGAAUUACUGGGCGUAAAGAGUGUGUAGGCGGUGUUCCAAGUCUGGUGUGAAAUCUCCCGCUCAACUGGGAGGGUGCGCCGGAAACUGGAAUGCUUGAGGGUGGGAGGAGGAUAAGCGGAAUUCCUGGUGUAGCGGUGAAAUGCGUAGAGAUGUGGAGGAAUACCGAUGGCGAAGGCAGCCCCCCUGGGAUAACACUGACGCUCAUGCACGAAAGCGUGGGGACA